CCUACGGGGGGCUGCAGUGGGGAAUAUUGGACAAUGGGGGGAACCCUGAUCCAGCCAUGCCGCGUGUGUGAAGAAGGCCCUCGGGUUGUAAAGCACUUUCAGUGAGGAAGAACGCCUGGUGGUUAAUACCCAUCAGGAAAGACAUCACUCACAGAAGAAGCACCGGCUAACUCCGUGCCAGCAGCCGCGGUAAUACGGAGGGUGCGAGCGUUAAUCGGAAUUACUGGGCGUAAAGCGCGCGUAGGUGGCUUGAUAAGCCGGUUGUGAAAGCCCCGGGCUCAACCUGGGAACGGCAUCCGGAACUGGCAAGCUAGAGUGCAGGAGAGGAAGGUAGAAGUCCCGGUGUAGCGGUGAAAUGCGUAGAGAUCGGGAGGAAUACCAGUGGCGAAGGCGGCCUUCUGGACUGAAACUGACACUGAGGUGCGAAAGCGUGGGUAGCAAACAGGAUUAGAUACCCUAGUAGUC
rnacentral:rRNA from 1 species